AUCGCGGGCAAGGAGCAGGCAGGCAAGCGGGAUACGGGAAAACGGGGGUUUAUUCUUAGGAAUCGGGGCAAGGGACAUCAGACACAGACUGACAUCAGGUAACAUCAAUGACAGACAACGGGUUAGUACAAAACAGGAACUUAAAUACAUGGAACAAGGCAGCAGGAAACAAGACACGACUGGGCACGAUCAGGAAAUCACACGUGGGUAAUUAGGGGGCGUGGCACACACGAGGAGCGGACGAGCCGGGCAUGACAGUAUACAGGCCAACAGAGCAUGCAGAUAAUUAUCUGUGACACCCAUGGUGAACUGUGAGCAGGUAUACAGGCCAACAGAGCAUGCAGAUAAUUAUCUAUGACAGCCAUUGUACACUGGAAGCAGCUGUACAGGCCAACAGAGCAUGCAGAUAAUUAUCUGUGACGAGCAUUCUUCACUGUGAACAGGUAUACAGGCCCACAGAGCAAGCAGAUGAUUAUCUAUGACACCCAUGGUGCACUGUGAGCAAGUAUAGAGGCCCAGUGAGCUUGCAGAUAAUUAUCUGUGACACCCAUAGUGCACUGUGAGCAGGUAUGGAGGCCCACAGAGCAUGCAGAUAAUUAUCUGUGACACCCAUUGUAUACUGUGAGCAGGUAUACAGGCCAACAGAGAAUGCAGAUAAUUAUCUGUGACACCUAUUGUACACUGUGAGCAGGUAUACAGGCCAACAGAGCAUGCAGAUAAUUAUCUAUGACAGCCAUGGUGCACUGUGAACAGGUAUACAGGUCAACAGAGCAUGCAGAUAAUUCUGUGACACCCAUUGUACACUGUGAGCAGGUAUACAGUCCAACAGAGCAUGCAGAUAAUUAUCUAUGACAGCCAUGGUGCACUGUGAGCAGGUAUAGAGGCCCAGAGAGCAUGCAGAUAAUUAUCUGUGACGCCCAUUAUAUACUGUGAGCAGGUAUACAGGCCAAUAGAACAUGCAGAUAAUUAUCUGUGACACCCAUUGUAUACUGUGAGCAGGUAUAUAGGCCAAUAGAGCAUGCAGAAAAUUCUGUGACACCCAUUCUACUCUUUGAGCAGGUAUACAGGCCUAGAGAACAUGCAGAUAAUUAUCUGUGAAACCCAUGGUGCACUGUGAGCAGGUAUACAGGCCAACAGAGCAUGCAGAUAAUUAUCUGUGACACCCAUUGUAUACUGUGAGCAGGUAUACAGGCCAACAGAGCAUACAGAUAAUUAUCUAUGACACCCAUGGUGCACUGUGAGCAGGUAUACAGGCCAACAGAGCAUGCAGAUAAUUAUCUGUGACACCCAUGGUGCACUGUGAGCAGGUAUACAGGUCAACAGAGCAUGCAGAUAAUUCUGUGACACCCAUUGUACACUGUGAGCAGGUAUACAGUCCAACAGAGCAUGCAGAUAAUUAUCUAUGACAGCCAUGGUGCACUGUGAGCAGGUAUAGAGGCCCAGAGAGCAUGCAGAUAAUUAUCUGUGACGCCCAUUAUAUACUGUGAGCAGGUAUACAGGCCAAUAGAACAUGCAGAUAAUUAUCUGUGACACCCAUUGUAUACUGUGAGCAGGUAUAUAGGCCAAUAGAGCAUGCAGAAAAUUCUGUGACACCCAUUCUACUCUUUGAGCAGGUAUACAGGCCUAGAGAACAUGCAGAUAAUUAUCUGUGAAACCCAUGGUGCACUGUGAGCAGGUAUACAGGCCAACAGAGCAUGCAGAUAAUUAUCUGUGACACCCAUUGUAUACUGUGAGCAGGUAUACAGGCCAACAGAGCAUACAGAUAAUUAUCUAUGACACCCAUGGUGCACUGUGAGCAGGUAUACAGGCCAACAGAGCAUGCAGAUAAUUAUCUGUGACACCCAUGGUGCACUGUGAGCAGGUAUAGAGGCCCAGAGAGCAUGCAGGUAAUUAUCUAUGACACCCAUGGUGCACUGUGAGCAGGUAUAGAGGCCCAGAGAGCAUGCAGAUAAUUAUCUGUGACACCCAUGGUGCACUGUGAGCAGGUAUACAGGCCAACAGAGCAUGCAGAUAAUUAUCUAUGACAGCCAUGGUGCACUGUGAACAGGUAUACAGGUCAACAGAGCAUACAGAUAAUUAUCUGUGACACCCAUUGUACACCGUGAGCAGGUAUACAGGCCCACAGAGCAUGCAGAUAAUUAUCUGUGACACCCAUUGUACACUGUGAGCAGGUAUACAGGCCAACAGAGCAUGCAGAUAAUUAUCUAUGACAGCCAUGGUGCACUGUGAACAGGUAUACAGGUCAACAGAGCAUGCAGAUAAUUCUGUGACACCCAUUGUACACUGUGAGCAGGUAUACAGUCCAACAGAGCAUGCAGAUAAUUAUGUAUGACAGCCAUGGUGCACUGUGAGCAGGUAUAGAGGCCCACAGAGCAUGCAGAAAAUUAUCUGUGACACCCAUUAUACACUGUGAGCAGGUAUACAGGCCAACAGAGCAUGCAGAUAAUUAUCUAUGACAGCCAUGGUGCACUGUGAGCAGGUAUAUAGGCCAAUAGAGCAUGCAGAAAAUUCUGUGACACCCAUUCUACUCUUUGAGCAGGUAUACAGGCCUAGAGAACAUGCAGAUAAUUAUCUGUGAUACCCAUGGUGCACUGUGAGCAGGUAUACAGGCCAACAGAGCAUGCAGAUAAUUAUCUGUGACACCCAUUGUAUACUGUGAGCAGGUAUACAGGCCAACAGAGCAUACAGAUAAUUAUCUAUGACACCCAUGGUGCACUGUGAGCAGGUAUACAGGCCAACAGAGCAUGCAGAUAAUUAUCUGUGACACCCAUGGUGCACUGUGAGCAGGUAUAGAGGCCCAGAGAGCAUGCAGGUAAUUAUCUAUGACACCCAUGGUGCACUGUGAGCAGGUAUAGAGGCCCAGAAAGCAUGCAGAUAAUUAUCUGUGACACCCAUUAUACACUGUGAGCAGGUAUACAGGCCAACAGAGCAUGCAGAUAAUUAUCUGUGACACCCAUGGUACACUGUGAGCAGGUAUACAGGCCCAGAGAGCAUGCAGAUAAUUAUCUGUGACACCCAUGGUGCACUGUGAGCAGGUAUACAGGCCAACAGAGCAUGCAGAUAAUUAUCUAUGACAGCCAUGGUGCACUGUGAGCAGGUAUACAGACCCAGAGAGCAUGCAGGUAAUUAUCUGUAACAACCAUGGUGCUCUGUGAGCAGGUAUACAGGCCAACAGAGCAUGCAGAUAAUUAUCUGUGACACCCAUUGUAUACUGUGAGCAGGUAUACAGGCCAACAGAGCAUGCAGAUAAUUAUCUGUGACACUCAUUGUACACUGUGAGCAGGUAUACAGGCCAACAGAGCAUGCAGAUAAUGAUCUAUGACACCCAUGGUGCACUGUUAGCAGGUAUACAGGCCAACAGAGCAUGCAGAUAAUUAUCUAUGACAGCCAUGGUGCACUGUGAGCAGGUAUAGAGGCCCAGAGAGCAUGCAGAUAAUUAUCUGUGACACCCAUUAUAUACUGUGAGCAGGUAUAUAGGCCAAUAGAGCAUGCAGAUAAUUCUGUGACACCCAUUGUACUCUUUGAGCAGGUAUAAAGGCCUAGAGAACAUGCAGAUAAUUAUCUGUGAUACCCAUGGUGCACUGUGAGCAGGUAUACAGGCCAACAGAGCAUGGAGAUAAUUAUUUGUGAUACCCAUUGUAUACUGUGAGCAGGUAUACAGGCCAACAGAGCAUGCAGAUAAUUAUCUGUGACACUCAUUGUACACUGUGAGCAGGUAUACAGGCCAACAGAGCAUGCAGAUAAUUAUCUGUGACACCCAUGGUGCACUGUGAGCAGGUAUACAGGCCAACAGAGCAUGCAGAUAAUUAUCUAUGACAGCCAUGGUGCACUGUGAGCAGGUAUACAGGCCCCCAGAGCAUGCAGAUAAUUCUGUGACACCCCUUGUACAUUGUGAACAGGUAUCAGUACUGACUACUUUUUAUACUGAGUCACAUGUUUUAUGUGAAUUACUUUGUACUGAACUGAAGGCCAGUAUUUGUCACUGUGAAUAUGUUGUUGCAGACGUCCAUCCAGAAAUCAGAGCUGGGGGAAAAGAUAAGGUCCUUAUUCCAAUUAAUUUUUGGUACAAAAAUAAAAGUGUCUGUCGCAGAUGGAGGAUUAUAUAUUCUAGAGGUUAGUUUCUUUUUAUUUUUAAG